rnacentral:rRNA from 1 species
CGCUUUUUGUAAAUAUAAAAAGUUUUACCUGCCCAGUGUAAAUAAUAAAAUAAACGGCCGCAGUAUCCUGACUGUGCUAAGGUAGCAUAAUGAUUUGCCCCUUAAUUAGUGGAUGGAAUGAAUGGUUGGACGAAAGCAUAGCUGUUUCUAAUAUACUAUACAUAAUUUAUCUUUUAGGUUAAAAUUCCUAAAUUUCAUUGAGGGACGAGAAGACCCUAUUGAAUUUUAAAAAAAUGUCAUAAUAAGAUUUUAUUACCAUAAAUCUUCUUAUUUGCAACAAUUUUGGUUGGGGCAACCUAGGAACAAGAAAAGCUUCCUAUAUUCAAUAAAAUAAUAACUAUUUUGGAUCCAGCAAUAAUGCUGAUAAGAGGAAUUAAUUACCAUAGGGAUAACAGCGUAAUUUUUCUUGAGAGAUCUAAUCGAAAGAAAAGCUUGCGACCUCGAUGUUGGAUUAGAGUAUUUAAAGGGUUGUAGGAGCUCUUAAAAUUGGUCUGUUCGACCAUUAAAAUUCU